rnacentral:rRNA from 1 species
GAUGAACGCUGGCGGCGUGCCUAAUACAUGCAAGUCGAGCGAACGGACGAGAAGCUUGCUUCUCUGAUGUUAGCGGCGGACGGGUGAGUAACACGUGGAUAACCUACCUAUAAGACUGGGAUAACUUCGGGAAACCGGAGCUAAUACCGGAUAAUAUUUUGAACCGCAUGGUUCAAAAGUGAAAGACGGUCUUGCUGUCACUUAUAGAUGGAUCCGCGCUGCAUUAGCUAGUUGGUAAGGUAACGGCUUACCAAGGCAACGAUGCAUAGCCGACCUGAGAGGGUGAUCGGCCACACUGGAACUGAGACACGGUCCAGACUCCUACGGGAGGCAGCAGUAGGGAAUCUUCCGCAAUGGGCGAAAGCCUGACGGAGCAACGCCGCGUGAGUGAUGAAGGUCUUCGGAUCGUAAAACUCUGUUAUUAGGGAAGAACAUAUGUGUAAGUAACUGUGCACAUCUUGACGGUACCUAAUCAGAAAGCCACGGCUAACUACGUGCCAGCAGCCGCGGUAAUACGUAGGUGGCAAGCGUUAUCCGGAAUUAUUGGGCGUAAAGCGCGCGUAGGCGGUUUUUUAAGUCUGAUGUGAAAGCCCACGGCUCAACCGUGGAGGGUCAUUGGAAACUGGAAAACUUGAGUGCAGAAGAGGAAAGUGGAAUUCCAUGUGUAGCGGUGAAAUGCGCAGAGAUAUGGAGGAACACCAGUGGCGAAGGCGACUUUCUGGUCUGUAACUGACGCUGAUGUGCGAAAGCGUGGGGAUCAAACAGGAUUAGAUACCCUGGUAGUCCACGCCGUAAACGAUGAGUGCUAAGUGUUAGGGGGUUUCCGCCCCUUAGUGCUGCAACUAACGCAUUAAGCACUCCGCCUGGGGAGUACGACCGCAAGGUUGAAACUCAAAGGAAUUGACGGGGACCCGCACAAGCGGUGGAGCAUGUGGUUUAAUUCGAAGCAACGCGAAGAACCUUACCAAAUCUUGACAUCCUUUGACAACUCUAGAGAUAGAGCUUUCCCCUUCGGGGGACAAAGUGACAGGUGGUGCAUGGUUGUCGUCAGCUCGUGUCGUGAGAUGUUGGGUUAAGUCCCGCAACGAGCGCAACCCUUAAGCUUAGUUGCCAUCAUUAAGUUGGGCACUCUAAGUUGACUGCCGGUGACAAACCGGAGGAAGGUGGGGAUGACGUCAAAUCAUCAUGCCCCUUAUGAUUUGGGCUACACACGUGCUACAAUGGACAAUACAAAGGGCAGCGAAACCGCGAGGUCAAGCAAAUCCCAUAAAGUUGUUCUCAGUUCGGAUUGUAGUCUGCAACUCGACUACAUGAAGCUGGAAUCGCUAGUAAUCGUAGAUCAGCAUGCUACGGUGAAUACGUUCCCGGGUCU